rnacentral:rRNA from 1 species
GACGGGUAUCCGGCCUGAGAGGGUGAACGGACACACUGGAACUGAGACACGGUCCAGACUCCUACGGGAGGCAGCAGUAGGGAAUAUUGCUCAAUGGGGGAAACCCUGAAGCAGCAACGCCGCGUGGAGGAUGAAGGUUUUAGGAUUGUAAACUCCUUUUGUUAGAGAAGAUUAUGACGGUAUCUAACGAAUAAGCACCGGCUAACUCCGUGCCAGCAGCCGCGGUAAUACGGAGGGUGCAAGCGUUACUCGGAAUCACUGGGCGCAAAGAGUGCGCAGGCGGGAUAGCAAGUCAGAUGUGAAAUGCUAUGGCUUAACCAUAGAACUGCAUUUGAAACUGUUAUUCUA